ensembl:rRNA 5S_rRNA 5S ribosomal RNA
GCUUACGGCCAUACCACCCUGAGAACGCCCGAUCUCGUCUGAUCUCGGAAGCUAAGCAGGGUCGGGCCUGGUUAGUACUUGGAUGGGAGACGGCCUGGGAAUACCAGGUGCUGUAAGCU